rnacentral:rRNA from 1 species
CCUACGGGAGGCAGCAGUGAGGAAUAUUGGUCAAUGGACGAAAGUCUGAACCAGCCAAGCCGCGUGAAGGAUGACGGCCCUAUGGGUUGUAAACUUCUUUUAUAAAGGAAUAAAACGAGGCACGUGUGCCUGUUUGCGUGUACUUUAUGAAUAAGGAUCGGGUAACUCCGUGCCAGCAGCCGCGGUAAUACGGAGGAUCCGAGCGUUAUCCGGAUUUAUUGGGGUUAAAGGGAGCGUAGGUGGGGUGUUACGUAAGUUGGUAAAGUCUGGGGCUCAACCGGAAAGGUGCAAUUGAUACUGGCAGUCUUGAGUACAGGAGAGGUAGGCGGAAUUCGUGGUGUAGCGGUGAAAUGCUUAGAUAUUACGAAGAACACCGAUUGCGAAGGCAGCUUACUAAACUGUGACUGACGUUGAUGCUCGAAAGUGUGGGUAUCAAACAGGAUUAGAUACCCGGGUAGUC